rnacentral:rRNA from 1 species
UAAGAAGUUAAUAAGGGCGUACGGUGAAUACCUAGGCUCUCAGAGGCGAAGAAGGACGUGACAAGCUGCGAUAAGCAACGGAGAGGUGCAAAUAACCGUUAUAUCCGUUGAUUUCCGAAUGGGGCAACCCACCAUGCUGAAGGCAUGGUACCAGAAAUGGGGCUAACCCGCUGAACUGAAACAUCUAAGUAAGCGGAGGAAAAGAAAACAACAGUGAUUUCCUUAGUAGUGGCGAACGAACGGGAACAAGCCCAAACCCACAAUGUUUCGGCAUUGUGGGGGUUGUAGGACUGCAACAUUCGAAAUAUAUAAGAAGUGGAAGCGUAUUGGAAAGUACCGACACAGAAGGUGACAUCCCUGUACACGUAAUUAUAUAUAAGAUAGCAGUAUCCUGAGUAUGGCGGGGCACGUGAAACCCUGUCUGAAACUGCCGGGACCAUCCGGUAAGGCUAAAUACUCCUGAGAGACCGAUAGUGAACCAGUACCGUGAGGGAAAGGUGAAAAGCACCCCGAACAGGGGAGUGAAAUAGUACUUGAAACCGUGCGCCUACAAACGGUCGGAGCCCCUUCGGGGGUGACGGCGUGCCUUUUGCAUAAUGAGCCUACGAGUUGCUCCUCACUGGCAAGGUUAAGUCCUUAAGGGACGUAGCCGAAGCGAAAGCGAGUCUGAAUAGGGCGCUUGAGUCAGUGGGGGCAGACGCGAAACCCGGUGAUCUACCCAUGGUCAGGUUGAAGAUGCGGUAACACGCAUUGGAGGACCGAACCAGUUGACGUUGAAAAGUCUUUGGAUGAACUGUGGGUAGGGGUGAAAGGCCAAUCAAACCGGGAAAUAGCUCGUACUCCCCGAAAUGCAUUUAGGUGCAGCCUCAUAUUAGUGUCAUAGAGGUAGAGCUACUGAUAAGGCUAGAGGGCUUCACCGCCUAUCAAACCUUGAUAAACUCCGAAUGCUAUGACAUGAUUUAUGGGAGUGAGGGCAUGGGUGCUAAGGUCCGUGCCCGAGAGGGAAAGAACCCAGAGUAUCGGCUAAGGUCCCCAAGUGUAUGCUAAGUUGAUCUAACGAGGUAGGACUGCACAGACAGCUAGGAUGUUGGCUUGGAAGCAGCCAUUCAUUUAACGAGUGCGUAACAGCUCACUAGUCGAGCGGUCCUGCAUGGAUAAUAAUCGGGCAUCAAGCAUACCACCGAAGCCAUACGAUCGCAAGAUCGGUAGGGGAGCAUUGCAACUGCUUUGAAGAUGUGGCGCGAGCCAUGUUGGAGCGGUUGGAAAAGCAAAUGUAGGCAUAAGUAACGAUAAUGGGGGCGGGAAACCCCCACGCCGAUAGACUAAGGUUUCCUGAUCAACGCUAAUCGGAUCAGGGUCAGUCGGGACCUAAGGCGAACCCGAAAGGGGUAGUCGAUGGACAACAGGUUAAUAUUCCUGUACCCGCCAUAUAAUGAAAGUGACGGAUUCAUGUAGCACUUACGUACUGACGGAAAUGUACGUUGAGCCUAGCCUUCGGGCGAAGCGAAAGUGUGAGUUGGGUUCCAAGAAAAGCGAUUAUGGCGGCCCGUACCGCAAACCGACACAGGUAGUCAAGGAGAGAAUCCUGAGGCGCUCGAGUGAUUCAUGGCUAAGGAACUAGGCAAAAUAGACCUGUAACUUCGGGAUAAAGGUCUCCUACUUCGGUAGGACGCAGUAAAAAGAUCCAUGCGACUGUUUAUCAAAAACAUAGGGCUAUGCAAAAUUGAAAGAUGAAGUAUAUGGCCUGACACCUGCCCGGUGCCGGAAGGUUAAGAGGGGAUGUUAUCUUCGGAGAAGCAUUGAAUCGAAGCCCCGGUAAACGGCGGCCGUAACUAUAACGGUCCUAAGGUAGCGAAAUUCCUUGUCGGGUAAGUUCCGACCUGCACGAAUGGUGUAACGAUGUGGAUACUGUCUCAGCCAUGAGCUCGGUGAAAUUGUAGUUCCGGUGAAGAUGCCGGGUACCCGCAACGGGACGGAAAGACCCCGUGAACCUUUACUAUAGCUUCGCAUUGGUCUUGGGUAAAUAAUGUGUAGGAUAGGUCGGAGACUUUGAAGCUGUGUCGCUAGGCAUGGUGGAGUCGCCCUUGAAAUACGACCCUUUGUUUAUCCGGGGCCUAACUAACAGGACAGUGCGUGGUGGGUAGUUUGACUGGGGUGGUCGCCUCCAAAAGUGUAACGGAGGCUUCUAAAGGUGUUCUCAGCACGAAUGGUAACCGUGCGUAGAGUGUAAUGGUAUAAGAACGCUUGACUGUGAGACCAACAAGUCGAUCAGGUAGGAAACUAGAGCAUAGUGAUCCGGUGGUUCCGAAUGGAAGGGCCAUCGCUCAAAGGAUAAAAGGUACUCCGGGGAUAACAGGCUGAUCGCUCCCAAGAGCUCAUAUCGACGGAGCGGUUUGGCACCUCGAUGUCGGCUCGUCACAUCCUGGGGCUGGAGAAGGUCCCAAGGGUUGGGCUGUUCGCCCAUUAAAGUGGCACGCGAGCUGGGUUCAGAACGUCGUGAGACAGUUCGGUCCCUAUCUGUUGUGGGCGUAGGAAAUUUGAGAGGACCUGACACUAGUACGAGAGGACCGUGUUGGACUAACCGCUAGUGUACCUGUUGUGGCGCCAGCUGCAUCGCAGGGUAGCUAUGUUGGGCAGAGAUAAGCACUGAAAGCAUCUAAGUGCGAAGCUCCCCUCAAGAUGAGAUUUCCAUUAAGGGUCGUUGAAGACUACGACGUUGAUAGGCUGUAGGUGUAAAGGCGGUGACGUCAAAGCCGAGCAGUACUAAUUACCCGUUACUUCUGAGA